GACGAACGCUGGCGGCGUGCUUAACACAUGCAAGUCGAACGCUGAAGACCUGGCCUUUGUUGGGUUGGAUGAGUGGCGAACGGGUGAGUAACACGUGGGUAACCUGCCUUUUUCUUUGGGAUAACGCCCGGAAACGGGUGCUAAUACCGGAUAUUCACUGAUCUCCGCAUGGGGGUUGGUGGAAAGGUUUGUUCUUGUGGGGGAUGGGCGCGUGCCCUAUCAGCUUGUUGGUGGGGUGAUGGCCUACAAAGGAUUUGACGGGUAGCUGGCCUGGGAGGGAGACCGUGGACAUGGGAACUGGUAUACAGCCCAGACUCAUGCGGGAGGCGGCAAUGGGGAGUAUUGCACGAUAGGCGAAAGCCUGAAGCAGCGGCGACGGAUGAGGGAUGGAGGCCUUCGAGUUGUAAUCCUCUUGCGCGAAUGAUCAUGCCGCAACCGUGGGUUGUCUUGAGGGUAGUGGGUAAAAAAGCGCCGGCUAACUACGUG
rnacentral:rRNA from 1 species